rnacentral:tRNA from 1 species
GGGGUUGUGGCUCAGUGGUAGAGCGCUCACCUGGCACGUGCGAGGCCCUGGGUUUGAUCCUCAGCACCA